UAAACAGCUCAGCUCUCCUCGCUCUCUCUAUCUCUCUCUCUCCGACUCCCAAUGUCAGUCAGUCAGUCACUAAGUGCUGCUUGAUAAUCUUCAUCUUCCACUGCAUCUAUCAUCAUCGUCUCCGAUUUAUCUGAUUUGUAUCCAAGAAGAAGAAGAAGAAGAAGAAGAAGGAGAAGAAGCGGCGGCGGCGGGAAGAGUCCAAAUGAACAAGGACGAAGCACAAGAACAAGAAGAACAAAUCGUCAGCCUUUCUUCUCCAGCUGCUGUCUGCAAAAAGCAGGAGCAGCAGGAGGAGGAGGAGGAUGGCACUGUCGAUGAUGAUGAUCAUCGUAAUCAUAAUAAUAGUAACAAUGCUGCUGCUUCUGCAACUGAAGAUGGCAAUGGAGACCAUGCCCUUGGGGAAACCAGCCCCCCAAGGGCAAGGAAGAGGUCGUCGUCUUCCUCUAUUGCUGCUGCUGCUGCUGCUGCUUCCGCCACCGCUACUACUAAUGCUAGGGUUAGGGGUAGGGGUAGGGGCAGGGGCAGGGGCAGGGGUAGGGGUAGGGGUAGGGGUAGGUCUAGGGCAGCUGAUUCAAGUGCACAACAAGAAGAUGAUGAUGAUCAUAGUAAUCAUAAUAACAAUGCUGCUGCUUCUGCAACUGAUGAUGGAAAUGGAGACCAUGCCAAUGGGGAAACCAGCUCCCCAAGGGUAAGGAAGAGGUCGCCGUCUUCCUCUAUUGCUGCUGCUGCUACUGCUACCACUGCUACUAAUGCUAGGAUUAGGGGUAGGGGCAGGGGCAGGGGCAGGGGUAGGGGUAGGGGUAGGGGUAGGGCUAGGGCAGCUGAUUCAAAUGCACAACAAGAAGAUGCUGAUCAACAGCAGCAGCAGAUUGGAAGCUCCGCCAUCCACGCCAGACGCAAUCCUCUCAGGUCUGCUAGAGCUUCCCCCCGGCAGCUACUCAACCCAACCAAACCCCUCCGGCCUCCUAUCAAGAGGGACCAACACGGUAAUCCCAUUCCCUCAAACAUGUGUCAUCAGUGCCAGAGGAAUGACAAAGGACGCGUUGUUCGCUGCACCUAUUGUAACAGCAAGCGAUACUGUGUUCCCUGUAUGACCAGAUGGUAUCCUAGGAUGACAGAGGACGAUUUCCUCUCCUCUUGUCCUGUUUGUCGUGGGAACUGUAAUUGCAAAUCUUGCCUCCGUUUGGAUGUACCCAUCAAAGACUUGAAUCCAGAACCGAGUAUUGCUGACCAGGAAAAAAUUGAGCACUCCAAAUAUAUUCUACAAGCACUACUUCCAUUUCUAGAAAAAUUCAAUGCAGAACAAAACAUGGAGAAGGAGGUUGAGGCUAAGAUUCAAGGUUUAUCGUCAUCAAAGAUAAAGCUACAACAGGCAACAUGCAGCUUAAAUGAGCGUGCCUAUUGCAACAACUGCAGAACUUCCAUAGUUGACUUCCACAGAAGCUGUCCACACUGUUCUUAUGACCUCUGUCUUAUAUGUUGCGGGGAGUUCCGUUGUGGCAACCUACAGGGAGGUGAGGAGGAAGUUAUAAUGCAAUUUGUUGACAAUGGACUGGAUUACUUGCAUGGUGAGGGCAGUUCUGGAUCCACAUGGAGAACAGAAACUUCAGAAAUUGCUGUUGAAACUAGCUGUGCUUAUAAUAUAUUGUUAACAUCUGAAUGGAAAGCCAAUGAAGAUGGCAGCAUUCCUUGUCCCCCUGUACGCAUGGGUGGUUGUGGAUGUGGCAUCUUGGAAUUGAAGUGUAUAUUGCCUGAAAAUUGGGUCUCAGAGUUGUUAGAGGAUGCAAAAAAGAUAGCUAAAUUUUACAACCUUCACAACGAGCUUGAAUCUUUUCCACAAACUUGUCCAUGUUUCAGUGAGGCAGGAGAAGUUGACGCUGGUAGUAAACACUUAAGGAAGGCAUCAUCUCGUGAAAAUGCUGCCGAUAAUUAUUUGUUUUGUCCAGCAGCUAGGGAUAUUGAAGGAGAAGAUUUGAAGCAUUUCCAGUGGCAUUGGUACAAAGGCGAGCCUGUGAUUGUUAGUGAUGUGCUUGAGACUACAUCUGGCUUGAGUUGGGAACCAAUGGUUAUGUGGCGUGCAUGUCGUCAGAUUAAGAAUACGAAGCAUUCUCUACUUUUAGAUGUGAAUGCCAUUAGUUGCUUGGAUUGGUGUGAGGUGGAGAUUAAUAUCCACCAAUUUUUUAAAGGGUAUAUGGAAGGUCGACUGGACACUCUUGGAUGGCCUCAGAUUCUUAAGCUGAAAGACUGGCCCCCAUCAAGCUUAUUUGAGGAACGUUUGCCUCGGCAUGGUGCUGAGUUCAUCAGUAGCUUGCCCUUUAAAGAAUAUACACACCCUCGCAGCGGUUUUCUAAAUCUUGCUGCAAAAUUACCCAAGCGCGUUUUGAAGCCCGACAUGGGACCAAAAACAUAUAUUGCUUAUGGAGUUGCUCAGGAGCUGGGACGAGGGGACUCUGUAACGAAGCUUCAUUGUGACAUGUCUGAUGCGGUGAAUGUUUUGACACAUACUCAUGCGACAGUCCUUAAUCAACAUACUCUUGCCACCGUGCAGAAGUUAAAGGAACAGCACAUUGCCCAGGAUGAAAGGGAAAUGCUUGAAAAUGGUCUGAUAAUGGACCAAGUACUUGAGAAGUGUCUAUUACCAUCUAUGGAGAAAGAUGUUUGCUGCUCAGACAUUCAGUUGGAUUCAAAUUCUUCUGCUGCAGCAUCAAGCAGUAUGCAAAUUUCUAAUGUAGAUAAUGUUGGGGUUCAAAUCAUCCCAGCAAAUGAUAAUGUUGUGUUAAGGAACCCAGGUGCAGAAUGUGGUUCUGAUAUUCUAUCAGAAGAGAAUAAUAGCAACUGUGAGGACUGCAGUAGUGAAUAUAGGAAAAAAGGUUUUCGGGGAGGAAAGAGGAAGAGAGGAGAACUUAGUGCAGGUUUGGCUAGAAAGUGUAAGUGUACAGCUAAAAAUGCUACUACUGAUCCUGAAAUCAUGGGAGAUACUGGAAUUGGUGAAGAACAAAGGAAUUUUAGUAGUGUUCCUGUAUUAGAAAAGGAUUUACAAGAAAUUGAAGAUGUGGAUGGAGGUGCGGUCUGGGACAUCUUUCGGAGAGAAGAUGUUCCAAAGCUACAAGCAUAUCUGAGGAAACACUUCAAAGAAUUCAGGCAUACAUAUUGUUCUCGAGUGCAACAGGUUGUUCACCCAAUUCAUGACCAGACAUUUUAUUUGACGCUAGAACACAAAAAGAGGCUCAAGGAGGAAUAUGGAAUUGAACCAUGGACUUUUGUGCAAAAACUAGGUGAUGCUGUUUUUAUACCAGCUGGCUGUCCCCAUCAAGUUAGAAAUCUGAAGUCAUGCAUAAAGGUUGCACUUGACUUUGUGUCACCAGAAAAUGUUCGUGAGUGUCUUCGACUAACGGAGGAAUUUCGUGUACUUCCUAAAAAUCACAGGGCUAAGGAAGACAAAUUGGAGUAUUUUCAAUUGGUUCAAUGGAAUCAGCUGGCUCAGUUUCAAGACCUUCAAGGAAAGAUGUAGAACCUGAGCAGACAUCUUCUUUGAAUAAUUUCUCCGUUUGAAGGUGAGUGGGAAAGGGCUUAUAGAAAGGUUCAACUUCAUGGAAUGUAACAUCAAUAGAGACAAAGGUAGGCAAUGCAAACAAAUACUUUUGAGGAAAGGCUGUGAGUAGAAACAAAAUCAGGGAAGUACCCGGAGAGGGUGGACAAAGGACUUUUAUCUCCCAAGACUUGAGAAGGAAGCCGAUUGAUAAGAUGAGCAGCUGUUUGGACUGCUUCUCCCAAAGAAAUUUUGGGACAUUGGAUUGAAAGAGGAGGGUGUUGUAAAACCAAGGGUUUAAACAGUAUUUCAAAAGCAAUCUGUAACUAAAUCCUUUGAAUUGAUUUGUAAUUGAAGAUUUUUACAAAUCCAUCACCAUCACUAUCAUGAUUAUUCUUACAAAUCUGUAACUGAAUUUUGAAUUGAUUUGUAACUGAAGGUUGUUACAAAUCCAUCACCAUCAUUAUCAUGAUUGCU